rnacentral:rRNA from 1 species
UACGGAGGGGACUAGCGUUGUUCGGAAUUACUGGGCGUAAAGCGCACGUAGGCGGAUUUGUAAGUCAGGGGUGAAAUCCCGGGGCUCAACCUCGGAACUGCCUUUGAUACUGCAAAUCUCGAGUCCGGAAGAGGUGAGUGGAAUUCCUAGUGUAGAGGUGAAAUUCGUAGAUAUUAGGAAGAACACCAGUGGCGAAGGCGGCUCACUGGCCCGGUACUGACGCUGAGGCGCGAAAGCGUGGGGAGCAAACAGG